rnacentral:rRNA from 1 species
UACGAAGGGGGCUAGCGUUGUUCGGAAUUACUGGGCGUAAAGCGCACGUAGGCGGGUCGUUAAGUCAGGGGUGAAAUCCUGGAGCUCAACUCCAGAACUGCCUUUGAUACUGGCGAUCUUGAGUCCGGGAGAGGUGAGUGGAACUGCGAGUGUAGAGGUGAAAUUCGUAGAUAUUCGCAAGAACACCAGUGGCGAAGGCGGCUCACUGGCCCGGUACUGACGCUGAGGUGCGAAAGCGUGGGGAGCAAACAGG